GCGUGGGUUGGGCUUGUUGGGUAAGGCCCUCCGGACUGUAAAUCCGGCGCUUCGGCUACGGCGGUUCGAUUCCGUCCCUACGUA
rnacentral:tRNA from 1 species